ensembl:lncRNA
GCGCUCGCGCCGCGCCGCCCGCUCGGUGCGUCGGGGCCGCUGGCGGCGAGAGCCGGCGGGGAGCGGCCUCCGGGCCCGGCCGAGCACGACGUGGCUCACACCAGGCUGAGUGCUGCGGGGCCGCGCUCUGCUCCUCUGGCUGCUGCGGGGCCUGAGGGUGGGCAGUGGGGGACACCGAGAUCCCCACCGGCUUCGGCUGUGAGAGGCACGGCCAGAACUGGCUCAGACCUGACCAUAGCUUAUCUGCCACGGCCGGCUGCUCUGGAGGAAUUCCUGCACGUCUUCUGGCGGCAGAACUUCGCUCCGGCAGCGGGGGGACGUCGGAGGGAAUGCUGCGUCCUGGUUCGUGCCAUAGAGAGAGGCGCUGCGGUGCUUUGCACCUGAGCCCGGGGUCCCCUCAGCUCUGCUGGAGGAGGUGAGAGGGCGGUGGGGUCACGCUGGUGGCACUGCCGGGCUCCCCUGGCACAGGGGUGAGCCGCAGCGUGCUGCUGGUGCAGCAGAGGUGUGUGACACAGCAGCAGGAGCGGUGUGAGCUGCCUCUCCGCGUCCCGUCAGCUGAGGAAUAGCGUGGAGGAAUGAAUUCCAGUGAGUUGGAUGAGGAAAAUGUAAACUCUGCGUUCUCGUCGGGCAAACAGCAGUCGUGUAAAUAAACGUCUCUGGGAUUC